CUCACAGCUACAGGCAGCAGAGCAGUGUGGGAAAGAGUGUUCACUCCUCAGGCUCAAACUGUAGGCGCCACAUUGUUCAACUGUUCACACCUCAAACAGGCUGUGGGGGAAGUGCCAGCAUUGUGUCAGUGCCCCUCCCUCCCACAAGGAG